UACGGAGGGUGCAAGCAUUAAUCGGAUUUAUUGGGCGUAAAGGGCGCGUAGGCGGGUUUGUAAGUCAGAUGUGAAAUUCCGAAGCUCAACUUCGGAGCUGCAUUUGAAACUACAAGUCUAGAGGAGUGGCGGAGAAAAUGGAAUUCCACGUGUAGCGGUGAAAUUCGUAGAUAUGUGGAAGAACACCAGUGGCGAAAGCGGUUUUCUAGCUUAUUCCUGACGCUGAGGCGCGAGAGCAAGGGGAGCAAACAGG
rnacentral:rRNA from 1 species